AGAGUUGUAGAACCUAAAACUUCAGCCUGUCCUUGGUUGAACUAGGAACACUGUCACCACAGAUUCUCCAAGAUCUGCCUAAUGUUUUGCAUUGGGUCUCUGCAUCUGUCUCCAUCAGCUGCUGUGUGAAGCCUCUCAUAUGACAUGAAUGCUAGGCUCCCGUCGGAGCCUUCUUACUGAAGACCUGAGAGGAUGAGUGGUCAGACCCCACCCACACGCACUCUGCUGACACAUGAAGCUUUGAUCAAGUCCUCUCUGGAGGAGUUGCCUACUGUGGUCUUCCCAGCACUAUUCAAAGAGGUCUUUGCUGGCAGACACACCAAUCUCCUAAAGGCAAUGGUGGCAGCCUGGCCUUUCCCCUGUCUCCCUGUGGGACCAUUGAUAAAGAAGCCUAACCUAGAAACCUUGCAAGCUCUGCUAGAUGGAGUAGACAUGAGACUGACAAGAGAGUUUCACCCCAGGUGCCUGAUGACUCCCUUCGAGACCUUCUCCAUCACCCAAUGCCUAAUUUCACAGAGAGACUUUGAUUUCUUUUCUUGCUCCCACAACCUCUUUAAAUUAAAACAUCUGGAAAUAAGAGGGAUGAUCUUAUAUGCUUUGGAUCUUAUGCCUCUGAGAGGUCUCCUACAAAAAGUAGCAGACACUCUUGAGUUUCUGGAUUUUCAGUGGUGUAGGAUGAAGGACUCCCAGAUCAAUGCCCUCCUACCUGCCCUCAGUCAAUGCACUCACCUCAACCAGAUCAACUUCUACAACAAUGACUUCUCCAUGUCCACCCUGAAGGAGCUUUUACAGCACACAGCCAACUGGAGCAAGAUGAAUGUGGAACAAUGCCCUGCCCCUCUGCAGUGCUAUAAUGAGUUGGGUCAUGUCUCUGUAGAAAGAUUUGUCCAACUUUGUCAGGAGCUCAUGUAUACUCUCAGAGCUAUAAGGCAGCCCAAGAGCAUCUCUUUUGCUACAGAUAGCUGUCACAAAUGUUGUAAGCCCUGUGUCUAUGACCAGGACCCUAUACUUUGUUCUUGUUUUCAGUAAACAUAGAUACAGGACUUCUGGAUAUGAAUAAAUGACAGGCUUGGAACACAUCUUUAAUCUGCAGUGCUCAGAAACUGUGAUUUCAGACACUUCCCAUAUGGUUGGAAAUAAAGAGAUUUACAGUGACUGGGACCCUGAAGGCUGAGCUUGACAUGGGGAACAUUUCGAUGGAAUCUGAUAACAGGGGGAUUGUGGUCAGAAAAACAGUUUGGCGUUUAUAUGUGGCUUCUGCCCAGACAGUGUAUAUAUAGAUGCUUUUUUUGUGUACUCAUAAACCUAGAUGAUCUCUCUCAUGGGUAUUUGACUGUUAACAACAUCACUAUCAGGGUCAGGGUCUAGAAGGUUGAAUGGGUCCAGGAUUGGUAAGACACUGUUUUUUUAUGAAGAAAGGUAAGUUUUAGGUGAUAAAUGGCAUGUAUAAAAUGAAAGUAUUCGUGACACCUUGUCUCUUGCCUGGGCUACAUGUGUAACACUUUUGUGUGGCUGAUCAGUUAUGUGCACAAAACAUUUAAACUAAAGUGAGCAACAUAGACAAAUUCUUUGAAGGAGGAAGAUAAAUGUCACAAAUGGUUACUAUCCAGUACAUUCAGACCACAAAGCACCUUGGACCCAUCAAAGAUGCCUAAAGUUAAGAAGACAACAUAGAGCAAAGCAAACAGGCUUUCCAUUCUAGCUUUAAACUCUUGAUAUUUUUGUCAUGCCUUAAUGAGAUUACUAACAGGAACCUCUAUAUGAAGUCUUCAUGCCACGUGUCUCUAGGGCCCUAUUCCUAUGGAGUCCCAAAAUCUAUGAAGUACCUAUAGUAUAUGUAAAGUUGUCCAAUAAUAUGCAGGUAACUUAUCUACAUAAAGUCUUUACUUUUAAAAAAUGUAUUUUAAGGCUUUAGUUGUAAUAAAAACAAAAGAAAAGAAUCUCCCUCUGCCUAGUCAUUAUACCCCUUUCUGUAUAGCAAACUAUCAAUAAAAUAAUUUAUUGUUACUCUGU